AAGGUGGGCCAACGUAUGAAGUACUCGCUUUCGUGCUCGCCGCAAAUGAAACGUGUGCGAGAAGAGAAUGGACAUACUCCUAAGGGACAUGAACGUUACGUGGCGAUGACAAGCCUGAUCUUGGAGAACGCGGACUUAAACCGACUUUUUCCAAAAUGCCGGCCUAGGGGCGGCCCACCCCCGCCCCCGGGGGGCUCCACGCAGAACAGUCAGCCGCAUGACGACAACCCUUGCCAAACGGAGUCCGCCUCUGUUACCACCAUCACCACGUCCUCCACCGUCACGAUUGCCGUUUCUGCUAACGAAACCACCCCUCCUACAAAUCUUGUUUCUGUCAUAUCUGACGACAUGAUCGACCUUGAACGCGAUACCUCCGACAGGUAUAGGAAACGAGCGAAUGGCAGAAAAAAAUCAGCUUCGCUGUCCCGUAGGACGGCGAGCGUGGUGGCCGGUUAUGGUGCCGAGGGCCAACUGCCAAUCGGUACGUCUACGAAGAAGCCAUUAUCCUCGAGCUCGUCCUCGGCAUCGGGACGAAGCGAGGAUGCACCUCAAUAUGGGAGCCUGGCAGGUAGCGAUCAUCAGACGCAAUCGCAACAAGAGGACAGCGGACCUGAGGAAAGUCCCGUUUAUAUUUUGACCUCCGCUAAGGGAGAUCGCAGCUACAAAUUACGAAACUCCAGAAUCAUAGAAAUUGCUGGUGGUCGAGAAGUUUUCUCUCAAAGCCGAGGAAAAGUAGCAGCAAGAAAAUCUCGCUUUAACGCUGCAUCGAAUUCAUUAAAUAACGAGGAUACUCAAGCAGACAACAAAUUAUCCAUUAAGAAAAAUAAUAAGUCUCCGAGCACACAAACUAUUUGGGAAUUACGAAGCCGAUGUGGUGAAACAAGGAAACAACGUACGAACCGAGAGGUUACAGAAACUGUAUUCUCAUCUGAGGUGCACUCAGUACGACGUAAUCCUACUAAGUCUAUCCUUGAUUACGAUUCUCCUAAAAGUAAUCGUAGCAAUUGUAUUAUUAAUUAUGAUUCGAUUUUAAAUAGCAAUAAUGUAGAAUACAGUGUACCUAAAAGUAUUACUGAUCUGGAUUAUGGAUUACCAAAGAACUGUGUAGAUUAUCAAUCAAACCACACUACACCAGCAAGAAGUAUGGCUAUUGUUAGUGAUGGUGAAGUGGUGGUGUUCGAUGAUAUAGAUGAUAAUUGGCAAGGUCUGCGUUUGGAUUUAGCAUCAAAUAAUACAACUCAAGUUACUACAACAAAUAUAGAUUUGGAAACAGAAGAUCAACAGAGAGGUCGUAUUCCUCCUGAACCACCAAGUUCUAGCGUUGGUAGUACACCAAGUCCUACAACAGCAUAUCACCAUAAUACAUCUGAAUUCUUUAAGGUUGUAACAACAGCAAGUGAUUGUGAAAUAGAUUCACCUUCGCCAGAGCGUAAUCAUAAAGUAGCAAGAGUAAUAGGAGAACUACCAAUCGCACAGUAUUCAGGAAGUCCAAGACGUUAUGGCGUUCGUGAAAAUCCACAACUUCCUAGUUUGUUGUCAUCACCCUCUGUAUACAUGACACCAAGACCUGGCUUUCCACAAAGAGUAUUACCAACAACACCCAAUCAUAAAGAGAAGGAGGAUACCUCUGCUGAAAUUAUUGUAGAAAAACCUGUGAUAGAAACAACCAUUCACACGGAAGAUCAAUCGAUAAAUGUUUCACCAUCGUCUCCUAAAAUUGAGGAUGAAGAAGAAGAUUCAUUGAAACCACCAGCUUUACCUACUGACAAUAUAAGUAGUCUUGUAUCACCAGGUGGUAGUACUUUUGAUUACUUAUAUGAAUUUUCUGAAACUCGAAAAGUAUUAGAAGAAUUUUUCAAAUGUCCACCUCCAUCCAAAGAGAAAGAAAAUAGCAUUGAAUCGUUUCCAUUCCAAGACUUGGAUUAUGAACUGCGAAGACAAGGAGGAAGUGCAUAUGUAGGUCAGCGUUUAGCUAGUGGUCCACCCCCAACUGAGGAGGUUAUGGUACACGAAUCACCAAAAAAGCAGAGACCUGAUUUUCCUCAAAAUACUGGCGAACAUGAAAACAAUUUUUUGGAUCUCUCAGUAGGCACUGGAAGCAGUGAAGACCUUGGAGAGACAGAAGUUGGCUUACAGGUUGGCCACUCACGUAAUUUUACUUUAAGUCCUGAAACAACUGACUGCGACAGCAAUUGCGGAGAUUUAGAUAGCGAAGUUUCUCUAAUGAUGAUGGAUAAUGAAUUAAUGCCGGCCAGUGGUUUACUUGGUUCAGUUGGAGAUUUAGGAAAUAAUUCGGAUUCUCUUAGAAUCUAUACGAGUAUGCCUGUAUUGGAAGACGGUUUAUCAAGUGGACAUGCCAGUGACACAGAUAAUAAUAAUCCAACGGUAAUGCUUAUGAAACGGCAAAUAAAUGAAAUAGAGAAAGAAAUCAUUCAAAGGACGCGCAAUGACAUGUUAGGAACUGAAAAUGAAUCUGGCAAAGAUGUGAGUUUAAAUGUCACAAAGGAUAUUUUACAUACGUUGAAAACAUCGUCACCUGAUUUAUUUAUUGCGAAAAAGGAAAACUCAUAUGAGACCAAUGAGUUACAACUUGAUGGAUUAGAUCCUUUGGGUACACCUCCACCACCGGCACCCCAAGGUAGACAAAGUGUCAAUUUGGAAAUAGGUGGUGAGGUAGAAGCAGCUAUUAAAGAUAUUAGAAUGGCAUUACAAAGAACUAAAACACUUCCUGUUAAAUCGCCAUCUGAAGAACCACCAGAACCAAGUGUUAGUCCUAUUUGGAUACCAAGUAUAUUGGAUUCCAGGCGGAGAAUAUGUAUGGAAAGUAAUAGCGAGGAUUCGGAAGCUCGACGAGCAGGUGAUGAAGCGGACGUAGAAAUUGAAGAAGGUCCGGACGAAGAAGAAGCGGACACUGAUCUUGAGACUGAUCGAUUAUUAGGACAACAAAGAACUGAUGAUCAAGGAUUUUAUGAUGAUAAAGGGUGGCGGAAGCCUAAGACUAGGACAAUGUUACCACCAAUGAGUGCAAAAAUCGCAACUCCUAAGCAAACCCCUCCUAAAACCUUAAGUGUUACUCCUAUAGAAACGCUAGCACCGUCCGAACCUUUGCCAUCUACGUCUACUUCCAUUUCUCCACCUCCUGUAGUAUCUGUUAUUCAAUCAUCACCUUCUGAACGCGAAGUAACUACCCCUACGCAACCUGCAACAAGUCCACCGAAGACCCCAGUCAAAAAUUCUCCCUCGUCUCCCCAGAGUCUGAAGGAAUCCAGCAACAAGGUGAAAAAGGAUAAAGAAGGAAAGAAGAAAAGUCGAAAUAAAGAAGCAUUAUUGGACGAUCCUUCAGUGUUGAUCGAAGGUGUAUUGUUCAGAGCAAGAUACUUAGGAUCUACACAAUUAGUAUGCGAGGGUCAACCAACAAAAUCAACUAGAAUGUGUCAAGCAGAAGAAGCUGUUUCUCGAAUAAAGGAUGGGCCAGUGCCAAUGCAGGCUACGCUCUUAAACUAUGGGGGGCAGCAUGGUUACGGCCGCUGCAGCAUUACUUCACAAGGAAGCCUAGAGGAAGACGAAUGUGACUCAAGCGAAGAACUUAUAGGGAGUGCUUCUGGUGGGGGCCAGUCCGAGACACACACAAUAGCCGCCCAACCAAAACUGGCCCCGAUCAGUGGCUCCUUGGGCCCCACAACCGUUUUCAGACUACAAUUUCUUGGGUCGGUGGAGGUGGAAGAGGAAGGGGGACGUAAACGGCGUAAGCGCCUUAAGAAUCACAUGGUGGAAGAGGCUGUGACUAAAAUAAAGGCAUUGGCACCAGAUGGAGAAACUCAACCCAGUACCGAAGUCGACCUAUUUAUUUCAACAGAAAAAAUUAUGGUCCUUAACACUGAUUUGAAAGAAAUUAUGAUGGACCAUGCUUUACGAACAAUCUCGUACAUAGCAGAUAUCGGUGACUUGGUCGUUCUCAUGGCUCGAAGACGAUUCGUACCACAUGAGAUGGAAGAAGCCCCCAAGAUAAACAGGACUCCUAAAAUGAUCUGCCACGUUUUUGAAAGUGAAGAAGCUCAGUUUAUUGCACAAAGUAUCGGACAAGCAUUUCAAGUAGCUUACAUGGAGUUCCUAAAAGCAAAUGGAAUAGAAGAUCAUAGUUUUGUUAAAGAAAUGGAUUAUCAAGAAGUACUUAAUUCGCAGGAGAUAUUUGGCGAUGAGUUGCAAAUGUUCGCAAAAAAGGAAAUGCAGAAAGAGGUGGUUGUACCAAAAGCAAAAGGUGAAAUUCUUGGUGUAGUAAUAGUUGAAUCUGGAUGGGGCUCUAUGCUGCCAACUGUAGUUAUAGCUAAUCUAGCACCAGCUGGUGCUGCUGCUCGUUGUGGGCAAUUGAAUAUUGGUGAUCAAAUAAUAGCAAUUAAUGGCGUGUCGUUAGUUGGCUUACCUCUAUCAACAUGUCAGACAUAUAUAAAGAACUCAAAAAAUCAAACGGUCGUAAAGUUAACUGUCGUACCAUGUGCACCCGUUGUUGAAGUGAAAAUCAAGAGACCUGAUACGAAGUAUCAGUUAGGAUUUAGUGUACAGAAUGGGGUGAUAUGCAGUUUGUUAAGAGGUGGUAUCGCAGAAAGAGGGGGUGUAAGAGUAGGUCAUAGAAUAAUCGAAAUUAACAAUCAGAGUGUUGUUGCUGUACCACAUGAAAAGAUAGUUAAUCUUCUUGCCACCUCUGUCGGUGAAAUCCUGAUGAAGACAAUGCCCACUUCGAUGUUUAGGCUGUUAACUGGCCAGGAAUCUCCAGUGUACAUAUAAACGUUCAGUUGCCUGGCUGAUGCGUAGUGAACAGACAAUACAUCCGCCAUCCACUACCACACUAUUUACCACUUUAUUGUACAGAUUAUUUCACGCAAAUUGCUUUGUGUUACAAUUCCAAUGGAGCAGUUCAUACAUCACCAGCGCUCCUGCUUAGUAAACCAAGACUACCUAGCUGCUCUGCUUUAUUACCUCUUUCUAUAUUAUUGGAUGGUGACAUUUGUAUAGGAUAUGCGUACAUAUAUAUGCAGAUAUCAACAGGGCUAUUAUAUGUAAUUCUAUUGUAACAAAUUGAAUAUAUAUGAUAAUGAUAAAGCAUGAAUAUGAAAAAUAUAUGUACAAAAAAGUACAAGUAAAAAAAUCUUAUAUUCGCAUAUAGCCCAGAAGAACAGAUACGAAAUGCAUGUCGCACAAGUACGAUGGCUGAUGAUUUGAUUGGAAUAUUAUACAAAAUGAUUAUAUAAAUAACGUUUGCAUUUUGAUGAGAUUAUUUUAUUGAUAAAGAAUUGUAUUUAGCAAAUGUAUAUUUAUUAGAAUAAUCCGAUUUAUCAUUUUCCUUGAUUUCUGCAGAUAUGUAAAAAAAAAAAAAAAAAAAAAAAAAA